UAGGUAGCCAAAGAUGUCUAUCAUGUGGGU
rnacentral:piRNA from 1 species